ACAAGUGCACAUUCUCUGCUGCCAACAGUACCAAUGUGUCCUCCAAGCAACAAAUAUUCCUUGGUAGUCUACUAUCAGAUGACAGUUUUCUCUUUGGCAUUUUUAUGAAUUGGGGCUUUCAAGGCCAAACUUCAAAUUUGCUUAGCAUAUUCCUGUACUACAUAUCAACAAAUGUUUGAUGGUCUGUCUGGUUCAUCUCUUAACACUAUGAAGAUGGCUACAUGAAGCUUAACAAGCAAACAUUCUGUUGCCAACAGGUACCAAUUGGUCAUCCUAUCCAAGCUGCUAAUAUUCCUUGGUAAUCUGCUAUCAGAUGAUUACAGUUUUCUCUUUGGCGUUUUUAUGAAUUAAAGCUUUCAAAGCCAAACCUUAGAUUUGGUUAGCAUAACCCUGAACUGCAUAUCAACAAAUAUCUGAUGGUCUGUCUGGUUCAUUUCUCAACACUAUGAAGAUGGCUACACGACUAAAUGGUCAAUUAAACAUGAGGUCAAGGAAAAACGGAUGAACAUUUCAAGGCUAGAGAAGGAACAUUGAACGUCUCUCUCACUGUGAAAAGAUUCUACCGAUCUACAAAUGAUCAACAUGUUUUAUCUAAAGUUCAUCUGCCAUUUCUUCAAAUGGAGCCAUAGUCAGAAUAAGGUAAGAAAUAUUCUUAUACUUCACAGCAUUUAUUUUUUGUAAAGUGAUGAUCCUGCAUUAGUUGUAUGUUGUUUGUGCAUGUUACUUUAAAUAUCCUGCAUUAGUUGUAUGUUGUAUAUGCAUGUUACUUUAAAUAACCUGCAUUAGUUGUAUGUUGUAUAUGCAUGGUUGCUGAAUUUUUGUAUAUAAUGACAUCAGUAAUUACUUCACAAACACAUAACUUCAUACACAACUUUGUAAGUUCACCUGUCUAGUUAAAGAAAUUUGUAUUGUAUUUGUUUUAAUACUGUCUAGUUAUGAAAGUAAACUGAAUUUUCAUUUGUUAAACUUAGUGAUAUACCAUU
rnacentral:sRNA from 1 species